CGGUGCUUACUGGCGUGUCGCGGGACGUCCUGCCGGUGGAUGCGGCUCCGGCAACGGGGCGGUCCAGACUAAUCCCAUGGCGAUGCUCUUCACCGGGUGUCGUUGUGGGCCGGCACGUUUACUUUGAACAAAUUAGAGUGCUCAAAGCAGGCCGAUUUCGCCUGAAUACUGUGUGCAUGGAAUAAUGGAAUAGGACCUCGGUUCUAUUUUGUUGGUUUUCGGAACCCCGAGGUAAUGAUUAAUAGGAACGGAUGGGGGCAUUCGUAUUGCGACGUUAGAGGUGAAAUUCUUGGAUCGUCGCAAGACGAACAGAAGCGAAAGCAUUUGCCAAAAACGCUUUCAUUGAUCAAGAACGAAAGUUAGAGGUUCGAAGGCGAUCAGAUACCGCCCUAGUUCUAACCAUAAACGAUGCCAGCUAGCGAUCCGCCGAUGUUCCUUAGAUGACUCGGCGGGCAGCUUCCGGGAAACCAAAGCAUUUGGGUUCCGGGGGAAGUAUGGUUGCAAAGCUGAAACUUAAAGGAAUUGACGGAAGGGCACCACCAGGAGUGGAGCCUGCGGCUUAAUUUGACUCAACACGGGAAACCUCACCAGGCCCGGACACCGGAAGGAUUGACAGAUUGAGAGCUCUUUCUUGAUUCGGUGGGUGGUGGUGCAUGGCCGUUCUUAGUUGGUGGAGCGAUUUGUCUGGUUAAUUCCGAUAACGAACGAGACUCUAGCCUACUAAAUAAUACACGGAAUUUUAUCUUCCGCGGUAUUUCUUAGUGGGAUCAAGCGUGUUUAACGC
rnacentral:rRNA from 1 species